CGUGAACGCUGGCGGCAUGGCUAAAGCAUGCAAGUCGAACGCGAAAGGGGGCAACCCUGAGUAGAGUGGCGGACGGGCGAGUAAUGCAUUCCUAACGUACCCUGAGGUCGGGGAUAGCUGGGGGAAACCCCAGGUAAUACCCGAUGACCCGGUGGAGGCGCAUGCCUCAGCCGGCAAAGGCUUGCUGCCUCGGGAUCGGGGAAUGUCCUAUCAGGUCGUUGGUGGGGUAAUGGCCUACCAAGCCUAAGACGGGUAGCCGGUGUGAGAGCACGACCGGCCGCAUCGGAACUGAGACACUGUCCGGACUCCUACGGGAGGCUGCAGCGACGAAUCUUCCGCAAUGGGCGCAAGCCUGACGGAGCAAUGCCGCGUGUGGGAUGAAGCCCUUCGGGGUGUAAACCACUGUCAGGGUUUAGCAACACAAUGAGCAAACCCAAAGGAAGGGGCGGCUAACUCUGUGCCAGCAGCCGCGGUAAUACAGAGGCCCCGAGCGUUACGCGGUGUCACUGGGCUUAAAGGGUGCGUAGGCGGAGGCGCAAGUGCUUUGUGAAAUCCCACGGCUCAACCGUGGAAUUGCGGGGCAUACUGCGUCUCUUGAGGCCGGUAAGGGUAGCUGGAACUGUAGGUGUAGCGGUGAAAUGCGUAGAUAUCUACAGGAACGCCGAUGGUGAAGACGAGCUACUGGGCCGGUUCUGACGCUGAGGCACGAAAGCGUGGGGAUCAAACAGGAUUAGAUACCCUGGUAGUCCACGCCGUAAACGAUGUGCACUGGAUCUGGGAGGUUCUGACACCACCCGGGUCGUAGAAAAAUCAUUAAGUGCACCGCCUGGGGAGUACGGUCGCAAGGCUAAAACUCAAAGGAAUUGACGGGGGCUCACACAAGCGGUGGAGCAUGUGGUUCAAUUCGAAGCAACGCGAAGAACCUUAUCCUGGGCUUGACAUGCACGGAUUAGUUCCUUGAAAGAGGAAUAACGCGGCUUGCCGUGGAACGUGCACAGGUGCUGCAUGGCUGUCGUCAGCUCGUGCUGUGAAGUGUUGGGUUAAGUCCCUUAACGAGCGAAACCCCUGCCGUUAGUUGCCAUCAGGUUAUGCUGGGCACUCUAGCGGGACUGCCGGUGUCAAACCGGAGGAAGGCGGGGAUGACGUCAAGUCCUCAUGGCCUUUAUGCCCAGGGCUACACACGUGCUACAAUGGCGUCUACAAAGCGAAGCAAUACCGCGAGGUGGAGCAAAUCGCAAAAAGGACGCCCCAGUUCAGAUUGCAGUCUGCAACUCGACUGCAUGAAGUUGGAAUCGCUAGUAAUCGCGUAUCAGCUACGACGCGGUGAAUACGUUCCUGAGCCUUGUACACACCGCCC
rnacentral:rRNA from 1 species